rnacentral:rRNA from 1 species
UACGUAGGGGUCGAGCGUUGUCCGGAGUUACUGGGCGUAAAGCGUGCGUAGGUGGUGAGUUAAGUCUGUCGUGAAAGCCCCGGGCUCAACCUGGGAAUGGCGAUGGAUACUGGCUCGCUAGAGUGCGGUAGAGGAGAGUGGAAUUCCCGGUGUAGCAGUGAAAUGCGUAGAGAUCGGGAGGAACAUCAGUUGCGAAGGCGGCUCUCUGGACCAGCACUGACACUGAGGCACGAAAGCGUGGGGAGCAAACAGG